rnacentral:rRNA from 1 species
CACCCGCAGCACAAGUGGUGGUCACUUUUAUUGAGCCUAAAGCGUUCGUAGCCGGUUUUGUAAAUCUCCAGAUAAAGACUGAAGCUUAACUCCAGAAAGUCUGAAGAGACUGCAAGACUUGAGAUCGGGUGAGGUUAAAUGUACUCUCAGGGUAGGGGUAAAAUCCUGUAAUCCUGGAAGGACGACCAGUGGUGAAAACGUUUAACUAGAACGAAUCUGACGGUAAGGAACGAAGGCUAGGGUAGCAAACCGGAUUAGAUACCCGGGUAGUCCUAGCUGUAAACUCUGCCCACUUGAUGUUGCUUUUCCGUUGAGGGAAGGCAGUGUCGUAGCGAAGGUGUUAAGUGGGUCGCUUGGGAAGUAUGGUCGCAAGACUGAAACUUAAAGGAAUUGGCGGGGGAGCACCGCAACGGGAGGAAUGUGCGGUUUAAUUGGAUUCAACGCCGGAAAACUCACCGGGAACGACCUGUGCAUGAGAGCCAACCUGACGAAUUUGCUCGAUAGCAGGARARGUGGUGCAUGGGCCGUCGUCCAGCUCGUACCGUAGGGCGUUCACUUAAGUGUGAUAACGAGCGAGACCCACAUCUCUAAUUGCAAAUGUAUAUGGGAAUAUGCAAGCACUUUAGAGAGACCGCCAGCGCUAAGCUGGAGGAAGGAGCGGUCGACGGCAGGUCAGUACGCCCCGAAUUUCCCGGGCUACACGCGCAUUACAAAGAACGGGACAAUACGUUGCAACCUCGAAAGGGGAAGCCAACCGCGAAACCCGUCCAUAGUUAGGAUUGAGGGCUGUAACUCGCCCUCAUGAAUCUGGAUUCCGUAGUAAUCGCGGGUCAACAACCCGCGGUGAACAUGCCCCUGCUCCUUGCACACACCGCCCGUCAAACCAUCCGAGUUGGUGUUGGAUGAGGUUUAGUUCUAGAGGGCUAAAUCAAAUCUGAUGUCGGUGAGGAGGGUU